AAGUUAUUCUAUUUCUCCAUCUGCUCUUACUUACAGCACUUUUAUAUAAAAUACAAUCCAUUAAAACUUUUUUUUUUUUUUAAGAUGGAAACUAACUAAAGGACUUUCAAGAAGCAAAAGAUAAAAAUGUGAUUUAAAUUCAUCUAGUUCAGAGGACAAGUGCAGAUAAAAGCACAGUAAGUAGGAGAUUAAUAGCCUUGGUGCAGGAAGCAGAUCAGCCUGGUCUGCUGCCCUGGCAGCUCUUCUCCGAGGUCUUUGCAAUGGGUAACUUGAGUUCAGAUACUGUUUGUUAGAAUAUUUCAGGUGAGGAGAGUUACUGCAAAGAGUCGAAAGCUAAGAUUUCAAAGAAUCAGGGCCUCUGAUCAGAAAAAUCUUAGACUCGUGGAUAAAUAUCCAUUAACAAAAAUGAACUGUUACACUUGUACUCCUAAUUUAGCAUAGCAUUUGCUUGUUUUUCUAGUUCGAGGAAUGUGUUUAAAUGCUGCAGUAGGGAAAAGAUAUAAUCUGGUGAUAGCACUUUUCUUGCUUUCCUGUGUGGCAUGAGGAUACAACUCCAUAGACUUUCUGAGAAUUUCAACUCAGAAAAUCUAUUUUGUGGGGACCUGAAAUACUGUUCAACUUUGCUCUCUACUCCUAACAGUUUGUUUUGUGGCUCAGUAAUCCUUCUCCACUCUCAGAACUAUGGAGGAGCGAGGUGGAGCCUUGUACUUCUGAGAAAGGAUAUAAAGCUGCUGGCAUUUGCCCACCAUAAGGAACAAGGACCUGCUCACAGAAAAAAAAAAAAAAGAAGAAAAAAAAAAAAUCAAAAUGAAGAAUCUCAGAGGAGCCCCCCCGAGAGCUGAAAACUGACUUUCCCUGAUGUGGAAAAAAACAAAAAGUAGUUUACACCAUUUCAACAGAUCCCGAUUGCUCCAAGGUAAGCCUUGUUUAUUGAUAAUGUAAGUAGCUUAGUGUGUCUGCCACUGUGAAAUUCAAAGAGAAAGGGAAGUUUUAAAAGUAACAUGCCUGCCUAGAAAGUGUACUGUGACAUGUAGGGAGCUUGACUUCAGUCUGAUACAUUUUCAUGCUUUCCCUGCAAAUCGAAGCGCGUGGUCAUUAACGCAGUAAAUCACAGUAAUGUGUUAUGAUCUGAUCUGGCAUUUAUAAGGAAAUAGGGUGUCUAGCCCUGGCUGCCUCUCCUACAGGUCAUUUGUCCUAGUGGUAAAGAGAGUGGUUGUUCCCAAGGGAAGAGAAAGCUGCCCAUUAUGUCAGCUCACACCCUGGAAAAGGCUACUGAUUUCAGUGCAUCUGUUUGUGAUGUGCCCUCUAAACGGGGUCAGUGUUAUAACGGGUAGGAGAGAGCAGUUUCAGCCAUGAGUGAGCACUCAGAUAAAUGGUGUAACUAACUCUGUCAGAGAUGAAUAUAAAACGUACACAAGAUGGCUUCUUUUGUAUUUGCUUUUAAAAAAAGGAAACAGACGUAUAUAAUGAUAUUUUUUUUCAGUCAUUGAUUUAUAUGCCACACAGAUGAGAAGCAAUAUUCCUAUGAUGCCUUUAUCAGUAUUCUGAGAAGGACUGCUUUCAGGUUAAAGACUGAUAAGCAAUGCCAACUAUUGACAUUAUUGGAACAGCCCUAUCAGCUUUAAUUUUCUUUUGUUUUCCUGUUGCCAAGGAAAGGCGUUAGAGAGGAAAUUAUGAUCUCAAAUUGGUUAAUCGAGUGACGUGCACUUUUUUCCAUAAAUUGCCAUGCCUGAUCUUUAAAGCAGUAUACAAUCUCAUUGCCAAGCAAGCAAUGUACAGAAUGUAGCAGAAUUUACAAAUAUCAUGUGUCAUCAGUCUUUAGGCCAGUAAUUCUCAAACCAAGGUGAGCUGUCCACAGUGUCACAUUACGGAGUUAAAUGCACAAACUCGUUUGUCUUGUUUGCCUGUACUUUUGUAUGCACAGUUUUCUGAGCAUGCUAGAGACCGCUAGAGUGUGCUCAAUUAUAAGCCUGGUAGGAAGCUACACACACACAGUGGAGCACGGGGAGUGCUCAGGGUUGCUGGAAGUUUAUUCUUUCCAGUAAAUUAGGGAGCUUGUGCUCUUGUCAUCGUAGAUCAAAGUUAAUUGACCUCAUACCAUUAGCAUCAGCAUAGUUAAGGCAUGGAGUUUACGCAAAGAGCUGGAGAAUUUAAAACCGUAAAGUUUCAUUUUUACUAGUCUGUCUGUGCACAUAAAUUUUGGCUUUGCAUGAGUAGUGUUUGUGCAGGCUCAGAAGAUUUUAUGCAAAAAUUAGUUGUGCA
ensembl:lncRNA